AAGGCCUGGUAGAACGCCGUGGUGUUUGCGUUUCACGCCUCGUUCUUGUGUUGACCUUUCAGGGAAGUCUGCACAACUAAUCCGUGUCUAUUUUGAGCACGCGAGUUCUACGCAUGCGCAGUGAACUGACUUGUGAUAGAAGCGUGUUGAUAAGGCUGAAUUAUUUUGGAGUGUUUUGGUUCUCUGAGGUUUCGCACAGGUUAAUAUAUAAGUAUAUGAUGCUUGUGGUUUAGUACGUGAUGCUUUACAGGAAAACUUUCCCAACGCCUUGGAGCUGGAGAGCAAAUACCGUCCAUCUUUCCUAUUGUCAUUUUACUGUAGCUUGUAAAAGAAACAAUAUGUUGAAGUCAAAAACGUUCAUUAAGAAAACCCAUUCUGGCGGUGUUUUAAAGAUCGUCUGAGAACUAUUACCUGUGGUUGCAAAGGAUGUGACUAGUUCCAACACGAGAAAGCAGUCCUGGACCUUGAGUUAAAGUCCCUCAGCAGGUCUGUUACCCGCAAAAACCUGUGGUACCCUGCAGGUUGUCGGUAGAAGUUCCGGGUGCGGGUAAAGACACAGGUCUGCGAAUUUGCGAAUCGGGCCACGGUUCUUCUCAAUACCAAUAUUUACUCCUUUUUUCUGGUCACGGCUACUUCCGAUGACGUCACUUCCAGUUUACAAUGACAGCACUUCCUGUUUACGCGGUUUUCCUGAUCACGUCUACUUCCAAUGAUGUCACUUCCGGUUUACAAUGACAGCACUUCCUGAUUCUUGAUGGUCAGCGGGUACGGGUCCCAAAAAAUGGACCCGCACAAACAACACUACUUGCUGCCAGACACCAAUGUAUUACUCCAUCAGGCAUGAGUAGCUGUGUACUGACAUUUUGUAAAACAAAGCACAAGUUGUGUUUUGUCCAUUUUAAAAGAAGCUUCAUAGCCCAUUAUUUUUUUUAAUGUAAUGUUUUGUUUACUUUUAUUUAUUUCAUGGGGAUUCAGCAGAGAACAAAGUGGUAAGUACUAGAAAGACAUUCAAAUCUAAGGCCCUUACAUUUGUUUAUGUCUAAUAGAGAGAGUCAAGAGAUGCAAAGUUAUGUAAAAAAAAAAAAACACUGCUGAAAAUUAAAUCAUCAAAGUGUUUUAAAGUAAUGAAAAAAUGACAGGUUAAAUAGUGUAUAACCGAUAACACCAUUAUGUUCUACAGAGCUUAUCUGCUAUGUAAACUGAGCCUUUCCUCUUUUGAAUCGCUGCCCCCAUUGCUACACAGCAGCUUAUUUAUAUGAACAAUAGUAAUGUUUCUGAAGCAAACACGGCAGUUUUACCAGUGCAGGGCAACACUGCAUUAUAUUUUUAUUACUUUAAAACACUUCAAUUUUUUGAUGUUACUAAUCCUAUAAGGUUGCACUAAACUGUUCAAUGGCUAACAUGAAACGCACAAGGCUUUCUAACAAGGUUUGGGAAUGUAUGAAAUUUUGUGAGUGGAUUUAGUAAAUUGCUGUACAAGUUUCUGAUAUAGAACAAUAAACAGAAAUAUUAUAAAAAAAAGUAACAUUUUAUUUUCAAAGAUUUUGUUUUUUUCUUUUGUUCAUUAAAAAUAACCACACAUUGUGUACUUUUUACAUGCCAAUUAAAGAUCCAUCAUUUAGCUGUCAUUAAAGUUUUGAACCUCCAGUUUCCAUCAUUUUCAGAACCUCUGCUUUUAUCAGGAACACACAAACCCAUAAUCAUCUAAGCAGCAAAACCCCAUUUGAAAAU